rnacentral:rRNA from 1 species
UGGGUAGGGGAGCUUCCCAUACGGGUUGAAGCAUGACCGUAAGGACAUGUGGACAGUAUGGGAGUGAGAAUGUUGGCAUGAGUAGCGAGAUGUGGGUGAGAAUCCCACAGGCCGUAAACCCAAGGUUUCCAGGGGAAGGUUCGUCCGCCCUGGGUUAGUCGGGACCUAAGCUGAGGCCGAAAGGCGUAGGUGAUGGACAACAGGUUGAUAUUCCUGUACUACCGAUAACCGUUUGAGAGA